GAAAUGCGAUACGUAAUGUGAAUUGCAGAAUUCAGUGAAUCAUCGAAUCUUUGAACGCACCUUGCGCUCCUUGGUAUUCCUUGGAGCAUGCCUGUUUGAGUAUUAUGAAAUCUUCAAAGUAAAUCUGUUGUUAACUCAAUUGGUUUCUACUUUGGUAUUGGAGGUCUUUGCAGCUUCACACCUGCUCCUCUUUGUUCAUUAGCUGGAUCUCAGUGUUAUGCUUGGUUCCACUCGGCGUGAUAAGUUAUCUAUCGCUGAGGACACUGUAAAAGGUGGCCAAGGUAAAUGCAGAUGAACCGCUUCUAAUAGUCCAUUGACUUGGACAAUACUUUUAUGAUCUGAUCUCAAAUCAGGUAGGACUACCCGCUGAACUUAAGC
rnacentral:misc_RNA from 1 species